rnacentral:rRNA from 1 species
GACGAACGCUGGCGGCGUGCUUAACACAUGCAAGUCGAGCGGUAAGGCCCUUUCGGGGGUACGACGAGCGGCGAACGGGUAGAGUAACACGUGGGUGACCUGCCCUCCAGCUCUGGGAGUAAGCCUGGGAAACCGGGGUCUAAUACUGGAUAUGACUCCAUGACGCAUGUUGUGGGGUGGAAAGCCUUGUGCGGCUGAGGAUGGGCCCGCGGCCUAUCAGCUUGUUGGUGGGGUGAUGGCCUACCAAGGCGACGACGGGUAGCCGGCCUGAGAGGGCGACCGGCCGACACUGGGACUGAGACACGGCCCAGACUCCUACGGGAGGCAGCAGUGGGGAAUCUUGCGCAAUGGGCGAAAGCCUGACGCAGCGACGCCGCGUGAGGGAUGACGGCCUCGGUGUAAC